GACGAACGCUGGCGGCGUGCUUAACACAUGCAAGUCGAACGGUGAACGAGGGAGCUUGCUCCCUCCGGAUCAGUGGCGAACGGGUGAGUAACACGUGAGCAAUCUGCCCCGAACUCUGGGAUAAGCGUUGGAAACGACGUCUAAUACCGGAUACGACGCGGGAGGGCAUCCUCUCCGCGUGGAAAGAACUUCGGUUCGGGAUGAGCUCGCGGCCUAUCAGUUUGUUGGUGAGGUAACGGCUCACCAAGGCGACGACGGGUAGCCGGCCUGAGAGGGUGACCGGCCACACUGGGACUGAGACACGGCCCAGACUCCUACGGGAGGCAGCAGUGGGGAAUAUUGCAUAAUGGGCGCAAGCCUGAUGCAGCAACGCCGCGUGAGGGACGACGGCCUUCGGGUUGUAAACCUCUUUUAGCAGGGAAGAAGCGAAAGUGACGGUACCUGCAGAAAAAGCACCGGCUAACUACGUG
rnacentral:rRNA from 1 species